AAGUUGUUUUAAUACACAGGAAAAUUAGACGGCCGAAAGUAGUCGUUAAAUAUUCUAGUUAAGAAAUUGUAUAUUACUAAUAACAAGGUAGUUGAAUCUAAAAUUUCUCCUUUAUAAGAAAUUAGUCUACGUAUGGACAUUAGGGCUAUUACUACCUGACCUUCUAAUAUGGAUAUAGUAGAUACUAAAGGGUAUCCUAAAAAUAAAGAUAUAAGUAGAAUUCUGCAAUAAAAUAAUUAUACAAAUCGACUACAUCAUGUAGUCUUUCAUUGUAAAACAUUUGAAAGUCAAGACCUAAUCUAGAGAUUAAUAUAAGUUUCUAGUGGUUUAGAUACUUUUUUAAAACCUAAAAUAAUACGUAUAAGUAAUCUGAGAAGUUUUAGAUCAAACGCGUCAAAAAACGUCUAUGACGUCCGAAAUCUAGCUAAAUUGAACUAGUUGACGUCUCUAUAUAUGGAGAAGGUUUGAGAGGGUAAAAUGAAGUCUAAAACACGUAAAAAGACAUUAAAUUUUUAAAACAUAGUAUAUUGUGUCUAAACGAUCAAUAACGGCUCCCCAAGAAUCACCCGAAGGGUCCUUGAGGAGGACCCCAAAAUGGGUAGGCAAACUGCCAAAGCCGCCUGCACGAGUAAGGAAUCAAGGGCAGUUGUACGACAUUCAUACAACACGAGGUCCACUACCUUAGUUAAAUCUUCAAAAAUAAAAUUUGUCAUUAUCAUCGUGACGUGAAAUCUUCAAAAAUAAAAUUUGUCAUUAUCAUCGUGACGUUGAUCCACUACUCAGAUUCAUAAAAAUCGUAUUUUAGGCAUUUUGACUUCAUAAAAAGACCCAAUUAAGUGGGGGCCUUUUGGAUAAUUUAGGGGUGAUUAUAUAUAUCCUAAGGGUCAGUUUUAAGUCAUUUUAAACUUAAUCAAAAUCCAAUUCCCAAAAUAAACCCAAAACCUCUCAUAUCUCUGUACUUUCUCUCUCCCUAAAUCCUCCAUUGAAGAAAGAACAAUGCUUGAAGAAGAAGACCAAUUUCUCUAGGAAUUCACUUAAAUGUUGUUGAUUAAUAUUCAUUAAGGAUUCGACCGUUGAGCUUAGUUGAAGUCCAUUGAUGACCACUCGGACAUUUCCCAAGUGUUUUGGUAGGUCCUAAUUUUCCGAGGACAAUGGCAUUAUCAAGCUACUAAUGUUGUUUUAGUUUUAAAGCUUCUAUGUUCUUUCCUUUUCAUUGAAGUCGUUUGUUGUAAUAUCCUAUAUGUGGCUUCAACUGUUGAUAUAUGGGCUAUGCCCAAUUGUUAUAUUCUUGUUUUGAUGGUUAUGAUAUGAGAUACACGUUUUAA